GACGAACGCUGGCGGCGUGCUUAACACAUGCAAGUCGAGCGGUAAGGCCCUUUCGGGGGUACACGAGCGGCGAACGGGUGAGUAACACGUGGGUGACCUGCCCUCAGCUCUGGGAUAAGCCUGGGAAACUGGGUCUAAUACCGGAUAUGACUCCAUGACGCAUGUUGUGGGGUGGAAAGCCUUGUGCGGCUGAGGAUGGGCCCGCGGCCUAUCAGCUUGCUGGUGGGGUGAUGGCCUACCAAGGCGACGACGGGUAGCCGGCCUGAGAGGGCGACCGGCCACACUGGGACUGAGACACGGCCCAGACUCCUACGGGAGGCAGCAGUGGGGAAUCUUGCGCAAUGGGCGAAAGCCUGACGCAGCGACGCCGCGUGAGGGAUG
rnacentral:rRNA from 1 species